GAUGAAGAACGUAGCGAAAUGCGAUAAGUAGUGUGAAUUGCAGAAUUCAGUGAACCAUCGAAUCUUUGAACGCACAUUGCGCCCGCUGGAACUCCGGCGGGCACGCCUGUCCGAGCGUCAUUUCAACCCUCAGGCCCCCCUUCGCGGGCGGGCCUGGUGUUGGGGCCCGGCCGCUACCCUGCGGCCGUCCCCUAAAUCCAGUGGCGGCCUCGCCGUGAUCCCUUGCGUAGUAAUGCACCUCGCACCGGAGAGCGCCGUGGCCACGCCGUAAAACCCCCAAUUUUCAAUGGUUGACCUCGGAUCAGGUGGGAAUACCCGCUGAACUUAAGCAUAUCAAUAAGCGGAGGA
rnacentral:misc_RNA from 1 species